rnacentral:lncRNA from 1 species
CUUGUAGGGCCGGGGAUGGGCGCCCCAUUGGCGGUGGUGGGACAUAGGGACCCAUAGGGACCCCAUAGAGCCCCAUAGAGACCCCAUAGAGCCCCAUAGAGUCCUCAUAGACCCCCAUAGAGUCCCCAUAGACCCCCAUAGACCCCCAUAGACCCCCAUGGAGACCCCUUAGCGCCCCAUAGAAACCCCUUAGAGCCCCAUAGAGUCCCCAUAGACCCCCAUGGAGACGCCAUAGACCCCCAUAGAGAUCCCAUCGACCCCCAUAGAGCCUCAUAGACCCCCAUAGAGCUCCAUAGAGCCCCCAUAGACCCCAUAUCUCCCUGCCCCUUUCCCCCCCCCACUUGUAGGGCCGGGGAUGGGCGCCCCAUUGUCGGUGGUGG